rnacentral:rRNA from 1 species
UACCUGCAGCCCAAGUGGUGACCGUUAUUAUUGGGCCUAAAACGUUCGUAGCCGGCUGAGUAAAUGCUUGGGUAAAUCGUGUAGCUUAACUAUACGGAUUCCGGGUAGACUACUCAGCUUGAGACCGGGAGAAGCUAGAGGUACUCCUGGGGUAGAGGUGAAAUUUUGUAAUCCUGGGGGGACCACCAGUGGCGAAGGCGUCUAGCUAGAACGGGUCUGACGGUGAGGGACGAAACCCUGGGGCGCAAACCGGAUUAGAUACCCGGGUAGUCCAGGGCGCAAACGCUGCUUGCUUGAUGUUAGCUGAGCUCCGAGCUCAGCUAGUGUCGGAGAGAAGUUGUUAAGCAAGCUGCCUGGGAAGUACGAUCGCAAGAUUGAAACUUAAAGGAAUUGGCGGGGAGCACAGCAACGGGUGGAGCGUGCGGUUU